rnacentral:rRNA from 1 species
UACGUAGGGUGCAAGCGUUUAAUCGGAAUUACUGGGCGUAAAGCGUGCGCAGGCGGUUAUGCAAGACAGAUGUGAAAUCCCCCGGGGCUCAACCUGGGAACUGCAUUUGUGACUGCAUGGCUGGAGUGCGGCAGAGGGGGAUGGAAUUCCGCGUGUAGCAGUGAAAUGCGUAGAUAUGCGGAGGAACACCGAUGGCGAAGGCAAUCCCCUGGGCCUGCACUGACGCUCAUGCACGAAAGCGUGGGGAGCAAACAGG